GUAGGUGAACCUUCGGAAGGAUCAUUAACGAGAGAGGGGUCACCGCCCCGGGGCCUUCGGGCCCCACCUCUUCACCCUGUGCGUACCUACCUUUGUUGCUUUGGCGGACCUCGGGGCGACCCGACGUCGGCCCGGGGUUGCCCGGGCCCACGCGCGCCCGCCGGAGACCCUUCAAACCUCGUCGUCAGUGGAGUCUGAGCACAAACGAAUAACUAAAACUUUCAACAACGGAUCUCUUGGUUCUG
rnacentral:misc_RNA from 1 species